rnacentral:rRNA from 1 species
UACAAGUAGUAGGAAGGAAACUGGACCGACCUUCGGGGAGCUUGUACAGGUGCUGCAUGGCUGUCGUCAGCUCGUGUCGUGAGAUGUUCGGUUAAGUCCGCUAACGAGCGCAACCCUCGCUGUGUGUUACAAGUGUCACACGGAACUGCCGGUCAUAAACCGGAGGAAGGUGGGGAUGACGUCAAGUCAGCAUGGCCUUUAUAUCCUGGGCUACACACACGCUACAAUGGGAAGGGACAAUAGGUUGCGAAGCCGCGAGGCGGAGCCAAUCCAGCAAAACUUCCCUCAGUUCAGAUUGCAGGCUGCAACUCGCCUGCAUGAAGUUGGAGUUGCUAGUAAACGCAGGUCAGCCAUACUGCGUUGAAUACGUUCCCGGGGCUU